rnacentral:lncRNA from 1 species
AUGGGGAACUGUUGUGACACCAGAGUUUUACCUCAACAGUCUACUGUUACACCCUUCUCAACUGAUGACCAUCCGUGUACAAAAUCCUCAUUGACCGUGGGCUCCAGAAAACGCCGGAACAUAUUUACAAUCAUAAGAAAUAUCCAUCACCAGAAUGCUGCUGUUACUGUGGAUACUGAAGAACAUCAAGCCCCAACUUGCUCAUCCACACAAACACCACAAAACAAAAGAAAAGCUAAAUGUGGUGAUGGUACACCUUCAGAAGAGGACGAGGAAAAGUCAUCACUGAGGAGGGUUAAGGUAGUUUCUAAAAGAAGCAGACAGAGCUCACCUUUCUUGAGAAAUAAGUUUCGGAGGGGCACUCUUCUCCCAGUGGAUGCUGCACAAUGUGACUUCACAGAUAAAAGUUAUAAAGGAAAACCACAAGACAACCUAGAAGUGGUAGCUCAAUGUUCUGAUGGUGCAGCUUUGCCAGUGGACAAGGGGAAAGGAGCAGUGAAAAUGGUGGAGGCAACAUCGAAAAAACGAAGAUGUGUUUCUGCAAUCUUAAAGCUAUUUUCUCGAAAGCGAGUUGUGGCCCCCCUUAAAGAGAAAAGACCUCAAGUACUCCCUGGCACCUCCAAAGAAACAGCACCCGUUACAACAGAAGUGGUACCUGAAAAUGCGAACACUGCACCAUCAGCAAGGGGACAGGGAGAGCCACCAGUAGGGAUGGUGAAGGUGGAGACUAAAAAGCGUAGACACAGUAUGUAUUAUAGAAUCUCUUAA